GUAAGGAACAAGGCUUAUGGGUAAUGUAGUUCUUCAAUACCUGUCAGGACACACGACAAAACAGUGAACGUUUUGCACACAACGGGUUGAAAAGUUGCCUAACUCCGGAAAAAACGUAGUUCUUUACUGAACCCAUCCAGUCACCAUAAUCCCACAUGAAACGAGGUAAACUACAAAGCACAGCAACGUCCACAGAGUGGGCAACCGCCCACGGAACUGGCUAAACUACAAAGCAUAGCAACGUCCACAGAGUGGGCACCGCCCACGGAACUGGCUAAACUACAAAGCACAGCAACGUCCACAGAGUGGGCAACCGCCCACGGAACUGGCUAAACUACAAAGCAUAGCAACGUCCACAGAGUGGGCACCGCCCACGGAACUGGCUAAACUACAAAGCAUAGCAACUUCCACAGAGUGGGCAACCGCCCACGGAACUGGCUAAACUACAAAGCACAGCAACUUCCACAGAGUGAGCGUCGCCCACGGAACUGGCCAAUCAGAACGCUCACAGAAGUGGCGGUAAAACCAUCGCGAGACCAGACAACAGUUGCUAUGCUAGCUGUCUACACAAAAUCGCCUCACACUACGACUUUCGUAAUUCAACAAUUAACCGCUACGUCGGUAAAAUACGAUAUAUAUAUAUAUAUAUAUAUAGAAUACGGUAUAUAUACGGUAUAUAUAUAUAUAUACCAGUGUUCAACUGGAAAGGCGAACUACACCAAAGAUAUCUCCCACUUAAGGAAAAUGGAAACAGUUGCGGGUCAGAAAGAGAAGGCGAAGUUUGCCCCGCUGGUGCCCCGUGAGAAGAAGCCAGGGCAUGGAGAGAAAGGAGAGGUGAAAAGAGUGAGAAUAAGUGGAAAGAAGAGGGGGGUGGAAAUAAGGAGAGAAACAUUGAUGUAGGAAAGAAGACAGGAGAAUCAUGUGAAGGAGAGAGAGGAGUAGAGAGCAAGGCUAAGGCCUCUGAGUUAGAGAAGAAAAGAGGAGAACGGAUGAAGAAAGAAGGUAAGAAGAAGAUGGCAGAUACAGAAAAAGCGAGGGCUGCCGUUGAAGGGUUACCCCAACAACAGGAAGGUGAAGAGGGAGAGAGAGGAGGAGGAGAGGGAGUGAAGGAGAAUAAAAACAGAAAAAUAAGGAGGAAGACCAAUCCAGUAAGGAAACAGAUCAAGGGAAGGAGAGAAUGAAUGUGAAAAAGAAGAAAGAGAAUGAGAAGGUCAGAAAGGAGAGGAAAGAGACGAAAAAGAAGAGACAGAGGGAUGAGACAGAGAGCAAUAAGAAGGUAGGAGUAAAUCAUAUUUAUUGUGAUAGGAAUACAGUUAGUGUUCCUUACUUAGCCAGUAGUAAUACAGUUAGUAGGCCUUAAUUAGCCAGUACUAAUACAGUUAGUAGGCCUUACUUAGCCAGUAGUAAUACAGU
rnacentral:lncRNA from 1 species